rnacentral:antisense_RNA from 1 species
CUUGAGCGAGCCCAGCCACACCGGCUGGUCGGCGGGCCUGCCCUGCCCGUACGUGGCGAUCAGUGCCUGCGCUUC